GAUGCAGCGACGCCGCGUGAGGGAUGAAGGCUUUCGGGUUGUAAACCUCUUUCAGUAGGGAAGAAGCCGGCCUUGGGUUGGUGACGGUACCUGCAGAAGAAGCGCCGGCUAACUACGUGCCAGCAGCCGCGGUAAUACGUAGGGCGCAAGCGUUAUCCGGAAUUAUUGGGCGUAAAGAGCUCGUAGGCGGUUUGUCGCGUCUGCCGUGAAAGUCCGGGGCUUAACCCCGGAUCUGCGGUGGGUACGGGCAGACUAGAGUGCAGUAGGGGAGACUGGAAUUCCUGGUGUAGCGGUGAAAUGCGCAGAUAUCAGGAGGAACACCGAUGGCGAAGGCAGGUCUCUGGGCUGUAACUGACGCUGAGGAGCGAAAGCAUGGGGAGCGAACAGGAUUAGAUACCCUGGUAGUCCAUGCCGUAAACGUUGGGCACUAGGUGUGGGGGACAUUCCACGUUUUCCGCGCCGUAGCUAACGCAUUAAGUGCCCCGCCUGGGGAGUACGGCCGCAAGGCUAAAACUCAAAGGAAUUGACGGGGGCCCGCACAAGCGGCGGAGCAUGCGGAUUAAUUCGAUGCAACGCGAAGAACCUUACCAAGGCUUGACAUGAACCGGAAUGAUGCAGAGAUGUGUCAGCCARCUUGUGGCCGGUUUAUCUAGGUGGUGCAUGGUGUCGUCAGCUCGUGUC
rnacentral:rRNA from 1 species